rnacentral:rRNA from 1 species
UACGAAGGGGGGCUAGCGUUGCUCGGAAUCACUGGGCGUAAAGCGCACGUAGGCGGCUUUCUAAGUCAGGGGUGAAAUCCUGGAGCUCAACUCCAGAACUGCCUUUGAUACUGGGAAGCUCGAGUCCGGAAGAGGUGAGUGGAACUCCGAGUGUAGAGGUGAAAUUCGUAGAUAUUCGGAAGAACACCAGUGGCGAAGGCGGCUCACUGGUCCGAUACUGACGCUGAGGCACGAAAGCGUGGGGAGCAAACAGG